AGAUUUUGUAUGAUUGCCAAAGAGACAACUCUCCACAAGAGACCAAAAUGACACAGAAAUUACCAUAUAGGUCACCGUACGGCCGUCAACAAUGAGCAAAAGCCCAUACCGCCUAGUCAGCUAUAAAAGGCCCCGAAAUAACCAUGUAAAACGAGAAAACUAACUGCUUAUUUAUGUACAAAAAUGAACGAAAAACAAAUAUGUAAC
rnacentral:lncRNA from 1 species